GACGAACGCUGGCGGCGUGCUUAACACAUGCAAGUCGAACGGUGAAGCGAGUGCUUGCACUCGUGGAUCAGUGGCGAACGGGUGAGUAACACGUGAGUAACCUGCCCAUCACUCUGGGAUAAGCACUGGAAACGGUGUCUAAUACUGGAUACGACCAACCCUUGCAUGGGGUGUUGGUGGAAAGAUUUGUCGGUGAUGGAUGGACUCGCGGCCUAUCAGCUUGUUGGCGGGGUAAUGGCCCACCAAGGCGACGACGGGUAGCCGGCCUGAGAGGGUGACCGGCCACACUGGGACUGAGACACGGCCCAGACUCCUACGGGAGGCAGCAGUGGGGAAUAUUGCACAAUGGGCGAAAGCCUGAUGCAGCGACGCCGCGUGAGGGAUGACGGCCUUCGGGUUGUAAACCUCUUUCAGCAGGGAAGAAGCGAAAGUGACGGUACCUGCAGAAGAAGCACCGGCUAACUACGUG
rnacentral:rRNA from 1 species